UCUACAGCAGGAUGUUUAUGACAGGACGAGAUAACGGAUGCUCAGCCACAGCAUAAAAAUCAUAAAAAGGUCACAACAUGACACAAUAUAUAUAUGAAACACAGAGAUAAGUUAUGAUGGGGUCCCGUCACCGCCUUUUUCUCACCUGCAGAUUCUCAGUUUGUGUUUGUUGGAAGAGCCAGAAGGAUUAACCAAACUACCAUUUUGUGGACUUUUAUUUUGAAACCAUCACUAUGGAGUGCAGUGGCAGCCAAUGUCGAGUUUGGCUCAUAUUUAUAUUCAUCUUUUGCUGAACGUGGAAAAAUUCUGAUCUCAAUACAGGUGUGUUCAGACAGAGACCGGCAGAUGUGACACAAAAAUACAGAACACCUAUAACUCCUACCCAGUGGACAUUCUAUGUGUGGGAUUUUUUGCAUUUUUGGUUUGUUGUGAUGUUUAUUUAUUUUCUACUUGGACUUUGGCGCAGGAACGCCUAUGAAUGGAUGUACACCACACCUGCAGUGCUACCCUAUGGAUUUCAUGUGUUUUUCAUCAUCAACUUUUGUUUGAACGUGAUGUGGUUGUUUCUGUUGGACAGAGAGUGGCUUCUAUCGCUGCUGAUAACCUCAAUGUUACUGAUGCUCACCACAUACAUGAUGCUUUUUCUCUCAUGUCAAGGACUGAAGGUCUAUGGAGCCUGGCUCAGCAAAUAUCACAACAAAGACCUCUGGCUCUUGAGAAUAAUAGUGCAGAAUGGAGUGGCGGUGUAUGCAACAUGGGCCACACUCUCCAGCCUGCUGAACAUGACGAUAUACUUACAGCACCGAACAGAAACACCCACAUGUGACUGUGCACUGCUGGCUCUGCUGCUGCUUCUGAUGGAAUUGUUAGGCUGGUUUCUACUGGAGAACUUCUACCUCGAUGAACACGUACGUUACAUCCUGACCAUCUACCCUGUGGUGACCCUGUGGCUGACGGGCGUCCUGAGGAACUUUGAAUCCUCUGACACACAAGUGUACACGUUUGCAGCAUUCAUUCUGGCUAUUUCCGUCAUCCUGUUUGUGGUUCGUGUCGUCCUGGUCACAUGGAGGCAUCAAAAAAAGCAGCUUUUCAAACACACUGAACCCAUUUUGUCCCCAGUAGAAAUAUCUUUGACACAAAACAGCCUGUUUCUGUAACCGUAUACAUAGAGUUGAUGUAAGUAAAUGAAGAGCUUUUAUAGAUUUUGGGUUGUUUCUGCAGAAUAGAUUCCAGACACAAAAGCAUUUAAGUACAACUUUGAAGAAAACAAUGUUGUUGUUUUUUUAACUCACCUGUUGUUUGUUCUCAGAAUAAAGACAGAAAUGUUACAGUGCA
rnacentral:lncRNA from 1 species